GACGGAGGGGGCAAGCGUUGUUCGGAAUUAUUGGGCGUAAAGGGCUCGUAGGCGGACCGGUAAGUCUGGCGUGAAAUCUCCACCGCUCAACGGGGAGAGGCCGUCGGAUACUGCCGGUCCGGAGUACGGUAGGGGACCAUGGAAUUCCAGGUGUAGCGGUGGAAUGCGUAGAUAUCUGGAAGAACACCGGUGGCGAAGGCGGUGGUCUGGGCCGUAACUGACGCUGAGGAGCGAAAGCUAGGGGAGCGAACGGGAUUCAGAUACCCCGAGU
rnacentral:rRNA from 1 species